rnacentral:snoRNA from 13 species
AAUGUGGUUAAUGAUGCUCAACUUUUUUUCCCCAUCUUAUCGACUAUGGUGAAACCUGUCUGAAAUAAGCCAAUUUGUCUGAAACCACAGA